UUGAUGAACGCUAGCUACAGGCUUAACACAUGCAAGUCGAGGGGCAGCAUGGUCUUAGCUUGCUAAGGCCGAUGGCGACCGGCGCACGGGUGAGUAACACGUAUCCAACCUGCCGUCUACUCUUGGACAGCCUUCUGAAAGGAAGAUUAAUACAAGAUGGCAUCAUGAGUCCGCAUGUUCACAUGAUUAAAGGUAUUCCGGUAGACGAUGGGGAUGCGUUCCAUUAGAUAGUAGGCGGGGUAACGGCCCACCUAGUCUUCGAUGGAUAGGGGUUCUGAGAGGAAGGUCCCCCACAUUGGAACUGAGACACGGUCCAAACUCCUACGGGAGGCAGCAGUGAGGAAUAUUGGUCAAUGGGCGAGAGCCUGAACCAGCCAAGUAGCGUGAAGGAUGACUGCCCUAUGGGUUGUAAACUUCUUUUAUAAAGGAAUAAAGUCGGGUAUGGAUACCCGUUUGCAUGUACUUUAUGAAUAAGGAUCGGCUAACUCCGUGCCAGCAGCCGCGGUAAUACGGAGGAUCCGAGCGUUAUCCGGAUUUAUUGGGUUUAAAGGGAGCGUAGAUGGAUGUUUAAGUCAGUUGUGAAAGUUUGCGGCCCAACCGUAAAAUUGCAGUUGAUACUGGAUAUCUUGAGUGCAGUUGAGGCAGGCGGAAUUCGUGGUGUAGCGGUGAAAUGCUUAGAUAUCACGAAGAACUCCGAUUGCGAAGGCAGCCUGCUAAGCUGCAACUGACAUUGAGGCUCGAAAGUGUGGGUAUCAAACAGGAUUAGAUACCCUGGUAGUCCACACGGUAAACGAUGAAUACUCGCUGUUUGCGAUAUACAGCAAGCGGCCAAGCGAAAGCGUUAAGUAUUCCACCUGGGGAGUACGCCGGCAACGGUGAAACUCAAAGGAAUUGACGGGGGCCCGCACAAGCGGAGGAACAUGUGGUUUAAUUCGAUGAUACGCGAGGAACCUUACCCGGGCUUAAAUUGCAGAUGAAUUACGGUGAAAGCCGUAAGCCGCAAGGCAUCUGUGAAGGUGCUGCAUGGUUGUCGUCAGCUCGUGCCGUGAGGUGUCGGCUUAAGUGCCAUAACGAGCGCAACCCUUGUUGUCAGUUACUAACAGGUUCCGCUGAGGACUCUGACAAGACUGCCAUCGUAAGAUGUGAGGAAGGUGGGGAUGACGUCAAAUCAGCACGGCCCUUACGUCCGGGGCUACACACGUGUUACAAUGGGGGGUACAGAGGGCCGCUACCACGCGAGUGGAUGCCAAUCCCCAAAACCUCUCUCAGUUCGGACUGGAGUCUGCAACCCGACUCCACGAAGCUGGAUUCGCUAGUAAUCGCGCAUCAGCCACGGCGCGGUGAAUACGUUCCCGGGCCUUGUACACACCGCCCGUCAAGCCAUGGGAGCCGGGGGUACCUGAAGUGCGUAACCGCGAGGAGCGCCCUAGGGUA
rnacentral:rRNA from 1 species